rnacentral:rRNA from 1 species
AACUAAAAAGCUAGUCCAAACUUUAAAGUAACAUAAAAAUAUAAGUUAAUAACUAAUAACCUAAAAGCAAAAAUAAAACAUUUUUCCGCCUGAGUACGGGAGACAGAAAAGGAUAUAGGAACAAUAGAAAAAGUACCGCAAGGGAAAGCUGAAAGAGAAAUGAAACAAAUUAGUUAAGUAUUGAAAAGCAGAGCCUAAAACUCGUACCUUUUGCAUCAUGAAUUAGCUAGUAUAAUUAAGCAAAAAGAAUUGUAGUUUAACCCCCCGAAACUCUGUGAGCUACUUCAAGACAGCCUUCAAUUAGGGCAAACCCGUCCCUGUGGCAAAAGGGUGGGAAGAUCUUCAAGUAGAGGUGACAGACCUAUCGAACUGAGUUAUAGCUGGUUGCCCGCGAAAUGGAUAGAAGUUCAACCUUUUAUAUUCUAGAGUCAAAAAAAGCACGACUGAAAUACUAGAGCGCUAGAAAAUAAAAGAGCUAGUUAAAAAGGGUACAGCCUUUUUGAUGAAAGAUACAACUUUUCUAGAUGGCUAAAGAUCAUAUAACCGAAGACAAGAGUGCUAAGGUGGGCCUAAAAGCAGCCACCCUUUAAUAAUAGCGUUAAAGCUUAAGCACAUAAAUAAGUCUAAGAUCACGACAACUUAAUCUUAAGCCACUUAAAUUAGCGAGCCACUCCAUUUUAAUAUGGAAGAGAUCCUGCUGAUAUGAGUAAUAAGAGGUUCAUAGACCUCUCCGCGCACAAGUUUAAAUCGGAACGGACCAUCCACCGAAAGUUAACGGCCCCAAAAAAGAGGGGAGACUGAUUAAAACAGAAAACAAGAAAACCUCAGUUCAAACACCGUUACCUCUACACUGAUGUGCUAAUUAGGAAAGACAAAAGGGGGGAGAAGGAACUCGGCAAAAUUUUAAUUAAGCCUCGCCUGUUUACCAAAAACAUCGCCUCUUGCAAACUAUAUAUAAGAGGUACUGCCUGCCCUGUGACCCAGUGUUUAACGGCCGCGGUAUUUUGACCGUGCAAAGGUAGCGCAAUCACUUGUCUUUUAAAUGAAGACCUGUAUGAAUGGCAUAACGAGGGCUUAACUGUCUCCUUCCCCCAGUCAAUGAAAUUGAUCCCCCCGUGCAGAAGCGGGGAUAACAACAUAAGACGAGAAGACCCUGUGGAGCUUUAAAUCACGAGCAGACCAUGUCAAGAACAACAAACAAGAGCAUUAAACAAAUUGGCCACUGUUCAUGUAUUUUUGGUUGGGGCGACCGCGGGGCAAUAAACAACCCCCAUGUGGACUAAGAAAACAUUCUUAAAACUAAGAGCCCCUGCUCUAAGUAACAGAAAUUCUGACCUUAAUGAUCCGGCCUGGCCGAUCAACGGACCCAGUUACCCCAGGGAUAACAGCGCAAUCCUCUUCUAGAGCCCAUAUCGACAAGGGGGUUUACGACCUCGAUGUUGGAUCAGGACAUCCUAAUGGUGUAGCCGCUAUUAAGGGUUUGUUUGUUCAACAAUUAAAGUCCUACGUGAUCUGAGUUCAGACCGGAGUAAUCCAGGUCAGUUUCUAUCUAUGAAGUGCUUCUUCCUAGUACGAAAGGACCGGAAAAAGAAGGCCUCUGACCCCUCAUGCCUUAGCCCAACCUUAUGAAAUAAACUAAAAAAGACGAAGGGUAACACCUUGAGGUCAUAGAACAUGACAU